rnacentral:tRNA from 1 species
GAGAAAGACAUAGUGGUUAUGGAGUUGGCUUGAAACCAGUUUUAGGGGGUUCGAAUCCUUCCUUUCUUA